GGCGGGAUAGCUCAGUUGGCUAGAGCAUUCGGUUCAUACCCGGAGUGUCGAGGGUUCGAAUCCCCCUCCCGCUACCA
rnacentral:tRNA from 36 species